CUAGAUAUAAAUAGACUUAAACCUCUACCUGAGUACUACGAAUCAUAAAUUUAAAACUCAAAGAGCUUGGCGGUGCUUUAGACUUUUCAGGGGAACCUGUCCCGUAAUCGACAAUCCACGAAUCAACCUUACUUUUUCUUGCGACCAGUAUGUAUACCGUCGUCGCCAGGUAACUUUUAAAAAUAAAGAAGUUAGCAAGAAAGCUAUUAGCUCUUACGUCAGAUCAAGGUGCAGCCUAUGAAAAAGAGAGGAUGGGUUACAAUUAUAAUACAUAAUUACGGAUAUUGAUUUUAAAAAUCAUUUGAAGGCGGACUUGAAAGUAAAAUCUAGUAAUCAAAUGCUUUGAAUCAAGCUCUGAAGCG
rnacentral:rRNA from 1 species